GUUUCAUCUUUAAAGGAGCCAAAACAUAAACGCUAUUGGUGAUAAAAAUGAGGGGUACCAAGACCUGGAUGACCUCAUCAAAGUGGAUCGUACAUCUAAAUGGCAAGACGAGGGCUGCGACCUGGACAGUCCCACUGCAGUCAGAGAUAACAGUGAGGAGGGACACCAAGAUCUGGAUGACUUCAUCGUAGUGAAUUGUACAUUUGAGCAGCAUGACAAGAGACACCAAGACCUAAAUGAUCUUAUCGAAGUGAAUCAUAUGUCUAACCAGCAAAGAAAGUAAGU